GAUGAACGCUGGCGGCGUGCCUAACACAUGCAAGUCGAACGGAGAUUUAACGCUGAUGAGACUUCGGUCAAUUCUUGUUAAAUCUUAGUGGCGGACGGGUGAGUAACGCGUGGGCAACCUGCCUCGUACUGGGGGAUAACAGUUGGAAACGACUGUUAAUACCGCAUAAGCGCACGGUGUCGCAUGACACAGUGUGAAAAACUCCGGUGGUACGAGAUGGGCCCGCGUCAGAUUAGCCAGUUGGUGGGGUAACGGCCUACCAAAGCAACGAUCUGUAGCCGGACUGAGAGGUCGGACGGCCACAUUGGGACUGAGACACGGCCCAAACUCCUACGGGAGGCAGCAGUGGGGGAUAUUGCACAAUGGGCGAAAGCCUGAUGCAGCGACGCCGCGUGAGUGAAGAAGUAUUUCGGUAUGUAAAGCUCUAUCAGCAGGGAAGAAAGA
rnacentral:rRNA from 1 species